AUUGAACGCUGGCGGCAUGCCUUACACAUGCAAGGCGAACGGUAACAGGUUAAGCUGACGAGUGGCGAACGGGUGAGUAAUGUAUCGGAACGGGCCCAGUCGUGGGGGAUAACUACUCGAAAGAGUGGCUAAUACCGCAUACGACCAGAGGGUGAAAGCGGGGGACCGUAAGGCCUAGAGCGAUGGGAGCGGCCGGUAUCAGAUGAGCUGGUUGGCGGGGUAAAAGCCCACCAAGGCGACGAUCUGUAGCUGGUCGGAGAGGACGACCAGCCACACUGGGACUGAGACACGGCCCAGACUCCUACGGGAGGCAGCAGUGGGGAAUUUUGGACAAUGGACGCAAGUCUGAUCCAGCCAUGCCGCGUGCGGGAAGAAGGCCUUCGGGUUGUAAACCGCUUUUGUCAGGGAAGAAACGCUCUGGAUUAAUACUCUGGGGUAAUGACGGUACCUGAAGAAUAAGCACCGGCUAACUACGUGCCAGCCGCCGCGGUAAUAC
rnacentral:rRNA from 1 species